rnacentral:rRNA from 1 species
UACGAAGGGGGCUAGCGUUGCUCGGAAUUACUGGGCGUAAAGCGCACGUAGGCGGCUCUUUAAGUCGGGGGUGAAAUCCUGGAGCUCAACUCCAGAACUGCCUUCGAUACUGAAGAGCUCGAGUCCGGGAGAGGUGAGUGGAACUGCGAGUGUAGAGGUGAAAUUCGUAGAUAUUCGCAAGAACACCAGUGGCGAAGGCGGCUCACUGGCCCGGUACUGACGCUGAGGUGCGAGAGCGUGGGGAGCAAACAGG